AAGCUGCAGUUCGCACAUUUCCAUAGGACCUCUAAGUGUUAAGAUUUAUAUCUGUCAAAAGGACAUACAAGUGCGACUUGUGUGUUCUUCCUUGUUUUUGAAGUUGCAGUUCUGGCUCUUUAAGGAGCAAUUGUUGCAAUAUUUCGGGAGUUUUCUCUCCCUAGUGUGAUAGUGAAAAUGUUGAUAAUGGCUGAAUGGGAAGGUAGAAUCGUACAUGUUUUUGUCAUAUUGAAAUUUAUAAAGUAUCCGAGUUAUAAGGAUAAUUAUGUGUAUUGUGAACAUUUUCGCUUGUUUUGAUACAUUCAAAUAUUUGGCCUUAGACAUUGUGCACUCCUAUUUUAGAGGAGAAAGAAGAGUUUCUACCUUCCUUGUUGCUACAAAGUUAGGAUGUUAUAUUGAAGAGUUACCCCCUCAUCCCUAAUCUUCCCCAAACCCCCCCCAACAUCUAUUAAGUUUCAAGAUUACAUGAUGAUAUGACUUCCCUUGGCAACAGAGAGUUCAAACAUAGAAAGGAGUUGAUCUCCUUCUCUUGGUCACCAUAUUUUUAUAUGCCUUGUACAUAUGCUGUGGUACGAAGUGCCAAGAAAUCACCAAAUUUCUCAAGUGCUUUUGAUAUGAAGUGGUGCUACUUUUGGCCCUUCCUAGAGAAAAGUUGAAUUGGCAGCUCAGCUGAAGGAUUUAAGCGAGCACAGAUGGUUUCUUGGUACGACAGAACUUCAUCUUAGAGUGUCAUUGGAUUUAUGGAUGUAAUUCCACAUUAUUUUUGUGAUGAUAGAGAUGAAUACAUUUUGGAUAAUGUUGCAAUGAAUUUUGGACCAAUCAAAUUUUUGUAUUUUCUCUAAGAUGAAGUUUGACUUUUAUCCAGUACAAUGUAAAUAAUUGUAUAUAAUUGAUAGGAGAUUUCAUUGUUAUCACUUGUAGGGACAGGCCCCAUUUAAGUAAUCUAACCUUGAUCAUCACAUUUGUACAGCAUAAGGAAACUGUUCCUACUGUUGUCUUAUGGUACAAACGGUGUCUUAAAUUCUAAUGAUAACUACCCGAAGUGCGGUCUCAUUACCCACACAGGGUACCUAUUGACCGGCUACAGGUGAGAAAUACAGGUGAGAAAUAAUUACAUGACAACAAUCAGUUAGUAUAGCUAUUGGUUAAAAUUCUAGGUCUUAUGCCCCUGUAGAAUACGCUUUUAGUAGUAUUUUAGAAUGCCUUUGAAUUGAUCAUAGAUUUUAUAGAAAGCUCUAUAGUGUAGAGGCAGUGACUAAAUGUUUGUGGAGCAUCAAGAUGAGGUGCAGAACAUAUCCUUCUAUCUGAACUGACAUUCGUGUCUGCUGCAAGCGGAGUUUGGAGACUCAAAGACAUCGGUAGACAUGUUGCCAAGGAAAGCCAACACAGCUGAACUUUUGGACCCUGACUACUGCCAAGGCUAUGUGAAUACUCUAGGAAUCCUGGUGAUAUCUUGGACUAUCCCCAAAGACUUGGAGCUACAGAAGUGAUCCCUACCCCUACCUUCCCCUACCCUACCCCCGGCCCUUUUUAGGGCCACCCCACAUGUUCCAGAAAGAACAUGUCGUAUCACAGCCCUGUCUGGGGGUUACAACCAGACAAGUGUGUAUGAAGUGUGUGUGAGAUAGAAUGUUGGUGUGUAUUAAGUGUGGUGUAUAUCACAGUAUAUGGUAGAAUGAAGUGUGGUGUGCAAGAUAGAAUGUUGGUAUGUUUGAAGUAUAGUGUGCAAAGUAGGAGUGUGUGAAGUGUGCUGUGUAAGGUAGAAUAUUGGUGUGUAUGAAGUGUAAUGUGUAAAAGGAUGUUGGUAUGUACAAAGUGUGAUGUGUAAGGUAGAAGGAGUGUAUGAAAUGUGGUGUGAAAGAUGGAAUGUUGGUAUGUUUGAAGUGUGGUGUGUAAGGUAGGAGUGUAUGAAGUGUGGUGUGUAAGGUAGAAUGUUGAUGUGCAUGAAGUGAAAUGUGUAAAAGGAUUGUUGGUAUGUACAAAGUGUGAUGUGUUAAAGGUAGAAAGAGUGUAUGAAGUGUGGUGUAUAAGAUGGAAUGUUGGUGUAUAUGAAGUAUGUAUAAGAUGGAAUGUUACAAUGUAUGUAUGAAGUGUAUGUAAGGUAAAAUGUUGGUGUGUAUGAAGUGAUUUAGUGUGGUGUAAGAUAUGUAUAAAACAAUGUAAUAUGUUGGUGUGAAUGAAAUGUGUGUAAAAUAGAUUGUAUACAGAGUGUGGUGUAUAAGAUAGAAUGCUGGUUUGUAUGAAGUGGCGUGUGCUGGUGUAUGUAUGAAUUCUAGCACAAGCACUCACGCCCAGUCACACAUACCUUCAACACACAUUGAAGAAUAACAACAAUAAUAAUAAUAAGUAACUAAGAUUUAAUCAAAAGAUCAUGAACAAAACAUAAAAUAACUUGCAUAUCUACUACACCAUAGCGCUUUCCAGCAGUAGCAAGUAUUUUGAGAAAAAGCAAUUGGGUCACCUGCUAGAACAUGCCUAGCUAAAUUUCAUUCCAAAUGAAAUGGGAUAUGCAAUACGUUUUUCGAUACCUUUGUCUUGAAAUCAUCAUCUUCACACAUAAGGUCCUCUAUGGAAACAAGUGAUUGCUGAAAAAUCUAUAGGAUGGGGAAUUGCAGCUA